rnacentral:rRNA from 1 species
UACAGAGGGGGCUAGCGUUGUUCGGAAUUACUGGGCGUAAAGGGCGCGUAGGUGGCCUGUUAAGUCGAACGUGAAAUCCCCGGGCUCAACCCGGGAACUGCGUCCGAGACUGGCAGGCUCGAAUCCGGGAGAGGGAUGUGGAAUUCCAGGUGUAGCGGUGAAAUGCGUAGAUAUCUGGAGGAACACCGGUGGCGAAGGCGGCAUCCUGGACCGGUAUUGACGCUGAGGCGCGAAAGCUAGGGUAGCAAACGGG